UAAAUACUACUUGGUGACCGAUAGUGAAAUAGUACCGUGAGGGAAAGGUGAAAAGAACCCCGAACAGGGGAGUGAAAUAGAACCUGAAACCAUACGCUUACAACCUGUCGGAGCAGCUUCGUGCUGUGACGGCGUGCCUAUUGAAUAAUGAGCCUACGAGUUACUAAUCACUGGCGAGGUUAAGUGCACGGAUGCACGGAGCCGAAGCGAAAGCGAGUCUUAAUAGGGCGUUUAGUCAGUGGUUGUAGACGCGAAACCUUGCGAUCUACCCUUGAGCAGGUUGAAGGUUGGGUAAAACCAACUGGAGGACCGAACGAAUAAGCGUUGAAAAGCUUCUCGAUGACUUGAGGGUAGGGGUGAAAGGCUAAUCAAGCUGGGAAAUAGCUCGUACUCCCCGAAAUGCCUUUAGGGGCAGCGUUGUAAUAAAGAGUCUACUGGAGGUAGAGCUACUGAUUGGAUGCGGGGGCUUCACCGCCUACCAAAUCCUGACAAACUCCGAAUGCCAGUAGUAUGAUUUACAGCAGUGAGUGACUGGGUGCUAAUGUCCAGUCGCAAAAGAGGAACAACUCAGACCAGCAACUAAGGUCCCGAAGAAUAUGCUAAGUUGAUCUAACGAUGUUUUGUUGCAGAGACAGCUAGGAUGUUAGCUUGGAAGCAGCUAUUCAUUCAAAGAGUGCGUAACAGCUCACUAGUCGAGCGACAGAGCGUGGAUAAUAAACGGGCAUCAAGCAUAUCACCGAAGUUCUGGGCGCGAGAGCGCGGUAGGGGAGCAUUCCAUUCAGCGUCGAAGCAGUUUCGUGAGGAAUUGUGGAGCGUAUGGAAAAGCAAAUGUAGGCAUGAGUAACGAUAAUGCGGGAGAGUAACCCGCACACCGCAAGACCAAGGUUUCCUGAUCAACGCUAAUCGGAUCAGGGUUAGUCGGGUCCUAAGGGUAAGCCGAACGGCGAUCUCGAUGGAUAAUCGGUUAAUAUUCCGAUACUAACAUAUACCUCGAUGGAGAGACGAAGGAACGUAAGUGCCGCCACCUGACGGAAUAGGUGGUUAAAGGGCGUAGGUAUAGGGGCAGAUUAAGAGUUAGUCCUUGCUGAAACCUGACAGUACAGAGAGCCUACGGGCAAUUUGAUAGUGCACCCAAGUCGACUUCCGAGAAAAUCUUCUAAGUUAUAGUAUAUGUCACCCGUACCGUAAACCGACACAGGUGGUCGAGGAGAGUAUCCUAAGGUGCUCGAGUGAAUCACGGUUAAGGAACUAGGCAAAUUGACCCCGUAACUUCGGGAAAAGGGGUCCCUAUGAAAGUAGGGCGCAGCGAAGAGGUCCAGGCGACUGUUUAUCAAAAACACAGGGCUCUGCAAAUUCGAAAGAAGACGUAUAGGGCCUGACACCUGCCCGGUGCUGGAAGGUUAAGAGGGGAUGUCAUCGCAAGAGAAGCAUUGAAUCGAAGCCCCAGUAAACGGCGGCCGUAACUAUAACGGUCCUAAGGUAGCGAAAUUCCUUGUCGGGUAAGUUCCGACCUGCACGAAUGGUGUAAUGAUCCGGACGCUGUCUCAACCAUGAGCUCAGUGAAAUUGUAGUAUCGGUGAAGAUGCCGGGUACCCGCAACGGGACGAAAAGACCCCGUGAACCUUUACUAUAGCUUAACGCUGAAUUUGGGUACACAAUGUGUAGGAUAGGCCGGAGGCUUUGAAGCGGGCACGCCAGUGUUCGUGGAGCCGACGUUGAAAUACGGCCCUUUGUGUAUUUGAGUUCUAACCCUGCGAAGGGGACACCGUUUGGUGGGUAGUUUGACUGGGGUGGUCGCCUCCAAAAGCGUAACGGAGGCUUCCCAAGGUACCCUCAGCACGAAUGGUAACCGUGCGCGGAGUGCAAUAGCAUAAGGGUGCUUGACUGUGAGACAUACAAGUCGACCAGGUACGAAAGUAGGGUAUAGUGAUCCGGUGGUUCUGCGUGGACUGGCCAUCGCUCAAAGGAUAAAAGGUACUCCGGGGAUAACAGGCUGAUCCCCCCCAAGAGC
rnacentral:rRNA from 1 species